GACGAACGCUGGCGGCGUGCUUAACACAUGCAAGUCGAACGGAGAACCUCUUCUUAUGGGAGCUGUGCCGGAGGGGUGAGUAACACGUGGGCAACCGGCCCCCGGCUCUGGCAUAACGCUAAGUACUGGGGACUAAGACCGGUUCUUGACCGCUGCCCGCGCUGGUUGGGGUGGGAAGGGUAUCCGGCUGGGGAUGGGCUCGCGGCGUAUCAGCUUGUUGGUGGGGUAGUGGCCUACCAAGGCGACGACGGGUAGCCGGCCUGAGAGGGUGACCGGCCACACUGGGACUGAGACACGGCCCAGACUCCUACGGGAGGCAGCAGUGGGGAAUAUUGCGCAAUGGGCGGAAGCCUGACGCAGCGACGCCGCGUGGGGGAUGACGGCCUUCGGGUUGUAAACCGCUUUCGGCAGGGACGAAGCGCAAGUGACGGUAACGGCAGAAGAAGCACCGGCUAACUACGUG
rnacentral:rRNA from 1 species